GUCCAGAUGACGAGUCCCAAAUAGGACGAAACACGCGUCCUGGGU
rnacentral:hammerhead_ribozyme from 1 species